GGCAUUGCCUUAGUAGCGGCGAGUGAAGCGGCAAAAGCUCAAAUUUGAAAUCUGGCACUUUCAGUGUCCGAGUUGUAAUUUGAAGAAGGUAUCUUUGGGUCUGGCUCUUGUCUAUGUUUCUUGGAACAGAACGUCACAGAGGGUGAGAAUCCCGUGCGAUGAGAUGUCCCAGACCUAUGUAAAGUUCCUUCGAAGAGUCGAGUUGUUUGGGAAUGCAGCUCUAAGUGGGUGGUAAAUUCCAUCUAAAGCUAAAUAUUGGCGAGAGACCGAUAGCGAACAAGUACAGUGAUGGAAAGAUGAAAAGAACUUUGAAAAGAGAGUGAAAAAGUACGUGAAAUUGUUGAAAGGGAAGGGCUUGAGAUCAGACUUGGUAUUUUGUAUGUUACUCUCUCGGGGGUGGCCUCUACAGUUUACCGGGCCAGCAUCAGUUUGAGCGGUAGGAUAAGUGCAAAGAAAUGUGGCACUGCUUCGGUAGUGUGUUAUAGUCUUUGUCGAUACUGCCAGCUUAGACUGAGGACUGCGGCUUCGGCCUAGGAUGUUGGCAUAAUGAUCUUAAGUCGCCCGUCUGA
rnacentral:rRNA from 1 species